rnacentral:rRNA from 1 species
AUUGAACGCUGGCGGCAGGCUUAACACAUGCAAGUCGAGCGAGCGGCGGACGGGUGAGUAAUGUCUGGGAAACUGCCUGAUGGAGGGGGAUAACUACUGGAAACGGUAGCUAAUACCGCAUACCAUCAGAUGACCCCAUAUGGGAUUAGCUAGUAGGUGGGGUAACGGCUCACCUAGGCGACGAUCCCUAGCUGGUCUGAGAGGAUGACCAGCCACACUGGAACGGAGACACGGUCCAGACUCCUACGGGAGGCAGCAGUGGGGAAUAUUGCACAAGGGGCGCAAGCCUGAUGCAGCCAUGCCGCGUGUAUGAAGAAGGCCUUCAGGUUGUAAAGUACUUUCAGCGAGGAGGCGUUACUCGCAGAAGAAGCACCGGCUAACUCCGUGCCAGCAGCCGCGGUAAUAC